rnacentral:rRNA from 1 species
UAAUACAUGCAAGUAGAACGCUGAAGAGAGGAGCUUGCUCUUCUUGGAUGAGUUGCGAACGGGUGAGUAACGCGUAGGUAACCUGCCUGGUAGCGGGGGAUAACUAUUGGAAACGAUAGCUAAUACCGCAUGAAAUUGAAUAUCGCAUGAUACUUAAUUGAAAGAUGCAACUGCAUCACUACCAGAUGGACCUGCGUUGUAUUAGCUAGUUGGUGAGGUAACGGCUCACCAAGGCGACGAUACAUAGCCGACCUGAGAGGGUGAUCGGCCACACUGGGACUGAGACACGGCCCAGACUCCUACGGGAGGCAGCAGUAGGGAAUCUUCGGCAAUGGGGGGAACCCUGACCGAGCAACGCCGCGUGAGUGAAGAAGGUUUUCGGAUCGUAAAGCUCUGUUGUAAGAGAAGAACGGGUGUGAGAGUGGAAAGUUCACACUGUGACGGUAUCUUACCAGAAAGGGACGGCUAACUACGUGCCAGCAGCCGCGGUAAUACGUAGGUCCCGAGCGUUGCCCGGAUUUAUUGGGCGUAAAGCGAGCGCAGGCGGUUAGAUAAGUCUGAAGUUAAAGGCUGUGGCUUAACCAUAGUAUGCUUUGGAAACUGUUUAACUUGAGUGCAGAAGGGGAGAGUGGAAUUCCAUGUGUAGCGGUGAAAUGCGUAGAUAUAUGGAGGAACACCGGUGGCGAAAGCGGCUCUCUGGUCUGUAACUGACGCUGAGGCUCGAAAGCGUGGGGAGCAAACAGGAUUAGAUACCCUGGUAGUCCACGCCGUANACGAUGAGUGCUAGGUGUUAGGCCCUUUCCGGGGCUUAGUGCCGCAGCUAACGCAUUAAGCACUCCGCCUGGGGAGUACGACCCGCAGGUUGAAACUCAAAAGAAUUGACGGGGGCCCGCACAAGCGGUGGAGCAUGUGGUUUAAUUUGAUGCAACGCGAAGAACCUUAU